rnacentral:sRNA from 1 species
AUUACUGGAAAAGGCAAGAGUAGAGCUAUCAGGAUGUCUUCCUUGAACAUGCUGUCAACAAACCCCAGGAUUUUAUAAACCCUAUGUGAAAAACCCGCUAAGAAUCUCUUUUCUUCUUAGCAUAUUUUUUCACUUAGAGUUUACAAAAACAUGUUUUGAAGAAAGCUUGAAAAGAUCAGUGGAAAAAAAUUCAGCACCAAAUUUUCUCUGAAAAUCAACUUGUCAAAAAAGACGUGAUUAACGUCCAUCCUGUAACUAGCGCAUGAAUGAUCUUCCCCCUUUACGAAUGUGCUUCAGCAAAACUUUAAUCUUGACCCCUCCUUCUUUCCACUUUUAAUAGUGGAUGGGUGAAAAGGCAAGAGGAAAAACAAAGCAGCCGAAACACACCCAGACGCACACUUCUGCCAAGCAUAGCCACCAUGUGUUAAGGAAAAUGAGAUAUAAGUCAGUUACUCCCGGAGGCAAUGCUGCUGUUCAGCUCUUCUGUUUUUGUGGGCAGGGUCUUCAUGAACACUAAUGGGGGUACCAGGCCCUCUUCCUCAUUAGAAGAAAUCAGGAUAACAAAGGCAUAUUGGGCA